GACGAACGCUGGCGGCGUGCUUAACACAUGCAAGUCGAACGGAAAGGCCCUUCGGGGUACUCGAGUGGCGAACGGGUGAGUAACACGUGGGUGAUCUGCCCUGCACUUUGGGAUAAGCCUGGGAAACUGGGUCUAAUACCGAAUAGGACCACGCGCUUCAUGGUGUGUGGUGGAAAGCUUUUGCGGUGUGGGAUGGGCCCGCGGCCUAUCAGCUUGUUGGUGGGGUAAUGGCCUACCAAGGCGACGACGGGUAGCCGGCCUGAGAGGGUGACCGGCCACACUGGGACUGGGAUACGGCCCAGACUCCUACGGGAGGCAGCAGUGGGGAAUAUUGCACAAUGGGCGCAAGCCUGAUGCAGCGACGCCGCGUGAGGGAUGACGGCCUUCGGGUUGUAAACCCCUUUCAAUAGGGACGAAGCGCAGGUGACGGUACCUAUAGAAGAAGCACCGGCCAACUACGUG
rnacentral:rRNA from 1 species